GAUGAACGCUGGCGGCGUGCCUAAUACAUGCAAGUCGAGCGAACAGACGAGGAGCUUGCUCCUCUGACGUUAGCGGCGGACGGGUGAGUAACACGUGGAUAACCUACCUAUAAGACUGGGAUAACUUCGGGAAACCGGAGCUAAAACCGGAUAAUAUAUUGAACCGCAUGGUUCAAUAGGGAAAGACGGUUUUGCUGUCACUUAUAGAUGUAUCCGCGCCGCAUUAGCUAGUUGGUAAGGUAACGGCUUACCAAGGCAACGAUGGUUAGCCGACCUCAAAGGGUCAAUCGCCACACUGGCACUGAGGCCCGGUGCACACUCCUAGGGGGGGAAGCAGUAGGGAAUCUUACGCGAUGGGCGAAAGGCUGACAGAGCAACACCGAGUGAGUGAUGAAGGUCUUCGGAUCGUAGAACUAUGUUAUUAGGGAAGAAGAAAUGUGUAAGUAACAAUGCACAUCUUGACGGUACCUAAUCAGAAAGCCCCGGCUAACUACGUG
rnacentral:rRNA from 1 species